rnacentral:rRNA from 1 species
AUUGAACGCUGCGGAAUGCUUUACACAUGCAAGUCGAACGGCAGCACGGACUUCGGUCUGGUGGCGAGUGGCGAACGGGUGAGUAAUGUAUCGGAACGUGCCCAGUCGUGGGGGAUAACGUAGUGAAAAUUACGCUAAUACCGCAUACGAGCUAUGGAUGAAAGCGGGGGAUCGCAAGACCUCGCGCGAUUGGAGCGGCCGAUAUCAGAUGAGGUAGUUGGUGGGGUAAAGGCCCACCAAGGCAACGAUCUGUAGCGGGUAUGAGAGGACGACCAGCCACACUGGAACUGAGACACGAUCCAGACUCCUACGGGAGGCAGCAGUGGGGAAUUUUGGACAAUGGGCGAAAGCCUGAUCCAGCCAUUCCGCGUGCAGGAUGAAGGCCCUCGGGUUGUAAACUGCUUUUGUACAGAACGAAAAGGUUUCUACUAAUACUAGGAGCUCAUGACGGUACUGUAAGAAUAAGCACCGGCUAACUACGUGCCAGCCGCCGCAGUAA